AGGAAAGGAGGUCUACCUGGGGUAGGCGGUACAGGUUUUUUUCUCCACAGGUUGAAUUCUCCUUUAACAGCAUGCAGGCUGAACCCAAAGCGCUUAAUGCCAAAGCACCAAAUCCAGAAUCAGCGAAGAACCCAGGUGCCGAAUACCUGAAAUACCAAAGACCGGAAGCGACUAAGACCUGAAGCGUCAAAGACCCAAAGCCUCAAAAAGACCCAAAGCCACAAAAGGGGCCGAGGAUGAAUCCACAAAAAAAAAAUUAAGAAACUGCCAUUGCCAAGGACAAGGAUGAAGAACCUAAGGUGAAACACAGGUGGGUCCUGGACUUCAUGGGCCCCACGGACCCAGGCCUACUCCCCGCUGAGCUCUUCAGGCCCCAGUCGCGGCCACAAGAUUUCCGGAAGUGGCAGG